UCGAGAAUCUUCGGCAAUGGGCGAAAGCCUGACCGAGCGACGCCGCGUGCGGGAUGAAGGCCUUCGGGUUGUAAACCGCUGUCAAUGGGGAGGAAGGCUGCGUGAAGAGCGCAGUUUGACCUAUCUUUGGAGGAAGGACGGGCUAAGUUCGUGCCAGCAGCCGCGGUAAGACGAACCGUCCAAACGUUAUUCGGAAUUACUGGGCUUAAAGGGUGCGUAGGCGGUGCUACAAGUCGGGUGUGAAAUCCCUCAGCUUAACUGAGGAACUGCGCCCGAAACUGUAGUGCUGGAGUGAGGCAGGGGUGAGCGGAACUGAUGGUGGAGCGGUGAAAUGUGUUGAUAUCAUCAGGAACACCGGUGGCGAAGGCGGCUCACUGGGCCUUUACUGACGCUGAGGCACGAAAGCUAGGGGAGCAAACGG
rnacentral:rRNA from 1 species